ensembl:lncRNA
UGUCUGGAUGUCUGCUCUGGGGAGAUAGGGUUUUGUGUGAUCCCAGCCAGGCCAGCCCUCCUCUCCAGGACUCUCCCCAGGAAAACCCUGUCAGCCAGGGGGUCCUGGCAGCUCCCUUCUGCCCUGGGGAGAAGCUUCCAGCAGCUCAGCCCACGAGGCCUUCAUGGAGCUUGGGAACAAGCUAUCCCUGGUCCGGCAGGGGGAGAGCACUGCAGCCUGGGGCAGCCUCGAGGGGGUCCCUGCUACAGCCCCCAACCCACAGCCUGGGCCUGAACCCCCAAGAGCGGCAGAGGAGGAUGCAGAGUGUCUCUCCAAGGUGAGGGUGCCCCGCAAAGUAGCCAGUGGUGCGGGAGGAGUGAGGUUGGGGCUCUCGCACCCAGGCAGGACCCCCCAGGGAUGCAUGGGGUAGAAGGUAUCUGACCCGGGGGAGGGGUGUGCUGUGGGAGACACCCCCGGUGAAUGGGCAGAGAAUGGCAUAUGUUGGUGGGCGACCGUGGUCUUGGGGGCAUGGGCAGCAGGUUAGAGCCCCAGGUGUUUGGGGGGCACAAAAGAGAGAUCCUGAGCAGGAGUCUGGGGUCACUGGCAGCUGCCAACGCCUGAUCUGCCCUGCUAGCGGGAUCCAUGGGGGAAGGGGGAACCGCACCCUAGUGUCUCCAAGGACACGUGCUGGGUGGUCCACGAGGAGGCAGCGCUGAGGCCUCCUGGCGCUGCAGACGAGGAGUUGCUGGGAGCUCCUGGGCCGUGCUGCUGAGGGACUGAAUAGGGGUGCUGGGGAAUUGCAGGGGCUGGGCCGGGCCCCGGCAGGGAUUCUGUGUGCUCUGCAGGUGCCAGCACCCCUGUGGGCCAGCCGGGGUCUGGUAUGACCAGACAUGGCAGUAUUCCUGGCCCCGCUCUGUGGAGCAGACAGAUCCCAGGGGCCUGACCCCAGGCCUGACUCUGCUGGCCGAGCAGGUUGGCAGCUCCUGGGUCACUGCCACACGGAACCCGGGUCAGUCCUGGGCUGCGGAGAGCCUGGCACCCAGACAGAGGGCUGGCAGGCAGUGCAGGGAGGUUCCCCAGAAGUGGGCAGCUCUCUACCCCUGGAAGGUGGGGGAGGAGGUGGGGCUGGGGACUUCCCCCAGCUGUGGUGUCCCUUGGUGCUGUCAGAACGGGCAGUGGGCACUGGCUGCAGCUGCGGCACUCCCCCUCCCCCAUGUGUGGGGAGAGCGCCUUCUCCGGGCAGCCCUAUGCACCUCCCUCCCUCUCCCUCUGCUCUCCCGGCAGCCUGAGUUGGAGCAGGAUGCCUCCGAAGAUGGAGGGAGCAGCCUGGGCUCCAGCUCUGUGGCGCUGGACCCCGUGGAGAAGGAGUGGCUGCAGGGGGCAGCCAGCGGGCACCUGCUCACCCUGAGUCACCUGCUCAAACAGGACCCGUCCCUGGCCACCAGGAAGGACUUCACCUCGGGGGUAAGUCGGGGCCGUGGAGCUGGCUGCUUCUGCAGAGGCUCAGGGUGGGGAGUGUUGGGGUUCGUUGAGCCCUGGUCCCUGGCGGGAUCCCCAGUGCCCAGCAGGGAGCCUGGGGAUCUGAACGGGAGCCCAGCCCAGCCCCAGGGGGCAGUAGCAAAGCAGUCCAGCCAGGGAAGAAGGGGGGUCCAAGGCCCGAAGAACAGCUCUCCCCAGGGGCUUCCAAAUCCAGAUGCUUGGAGGCUGAGUUUCCUGCCCCAAAUGGAAGGUUUGGGCUGGCCUCCCCCACGUUGGACCAACACCGCACUGGCUCUGGGGGCCCCAUGUGAUGCUUCUAACAUGUCUCCUUCUCUGCCCCGUCCCUUCCACCCGUCCCUGCCGGUGCCGGCGCCCAUCUCGGCCGGGAGCAGUUUACAGCGCUGCACUGGGCGGCCAAGCAUGGCCAGGAGGACUUGGCCUCGCUGCUGGUGGCUGCAGGAGCCGAUGUCAACUCGCGAUCGGGCUACACCCCGCUGCACAUUGCUGCUCUGCACGGGCACCGCCAGGUCAUGGACCUGCUCAUCCAGAGCUACGGUGCCAAGCAAAACGUGCGGGAUUACAGUGGGCACCUGGCCAGACACUACCUGGGAGCAGAGAAGCCGCGGGACCGAGCUGCCACGCUGCCCCAUUUGCCAGCGGUGCGCGGCAGGAACAGGGCGCUGGCCUGUCUGCCCUUGCCCAAGGGCAGUGGCCAGGCCCGGAAGCGCUGGGGCUCUGCCGAGGACCUGACGGAGGAGGAGGAGCGGGGGCAGGCGCAGCACCUCACCGUGCCAGCCUCAUACCGCGCCGUGCGCAAGUUCUCCCGCUAGGGGGGCCGGCUCCCAGCCCCAGCCCUAGUCCCACCCACUGCCAGGGGCUCAGGCAGCCCCGAGGGUGCAGGGUCUGGAGGAGGGCAGUGGAUGGGCCCUGCUAGCGACUGCCCAGCCGGAGCAGGGGCAAGAGGCGCCGUGUUUCCCAAUGUUCAUACUCACACAGCCCCUCCCACAGCUGGAUGCCCCUCAGUCCUGACCUGCAGCCCCUGCUGUCCUGCCCUCGCGCUUCCUGUCUCCACCAACACGGGGCUCACUCGGUUACCGCCCGGCUGCUGGGUCUGCCAGCGCCAUGCACCGUGCCAGGUGCCUCACCCAGCCCCCGGAGCCCCACACCCUUGCCUCUCUGCUUUUUUCUAAUGGAUCCUGACACUGAAAUAAAACACUACGUGCAGCUGUAGGUCUGCA